CUCAGCGCUGACUUCUGUUGAAAUUACAGACUAUGGAAAAAAAAAAAAGCUUUAACACGAAGCAGUUUAGUCACUGCCCAAACGUGGAUAUUUCAGCCCACUUGUCUCUUGAGAAAACACCUUGCGGGAGGCGGUCUGCUGUUCUGCACAUCCUUCUCACAGUUCUGAGGACCCGCGGUGGACCCUGCCUCCUGCCUGAAGAUAGCUAGGAUAAGCUUCAGCACUUCUGCAACCCUUGUGAGGAUAAGCAGCUCAAGAAAUUGAUGGAUGAAAUACUGUACAUUUCUACAAAAGCAUUAAAAUAUUAUGGAGCGAUAAGUGUAACGUUGGAUUGUCACAAUACCAAGGAAUCCCGUCGAAAAGGUUGACAAGAUGAAAUAAGCAGCAUAUUUCAUUUUGAGAGCUGCAGCGGUGAGGCGGUCAGCCAACUUA